rnacentral:rRNA from 1 species
UACGUAGGGUGCAAGCGUUAAUCGGAAUUACUGGGCGUAAAGCGUGCGCAGGCGGUUUUGUAAGUCUGUCGUGAAAUCCCCCGGGCUCAACCUGGGAAUUGCGAUGGAGACUGCAAGGCUAGAAUCUGGCAGAGGGGGGGUAGAAUUCCACGUGUAGCAGUGAAAAUGCGUAGAGAUGUGGAGGAACACCGAUGGCGAAGGCAGCCCCCCUGGGUCAAGAUUGACGCUCAUGCACGAAAGCGUGGGGAGCAAACAGG